rfam:Rhizobiales bacterium 63-22 SCNpilot_cont_500_bf_scaffold_128, whole genome shotgun sequence.
UGUCAAGUGCUAUCAGCGUCAUUCUGGCGGACGGAUUUCUUUUGCCUUGCGAGAGGUGAAAGACAAUG